GUGCGGAACACGUGUGCAACCUGCCUUUAUCUGGGGGAUAGCCUUUCGAAAGGGAGAUUAAUACCCCAUAAUAUAAUGAGUGGCAUCGCUUAUUAUUGAAAACUCCGGUGGAUAGAGAUGGGCACGCGCAAGAUUAGAUAGUUGGUGAGGUAACGGCUCACCAAGUCAAUGAUCUUUAGGGGGCCUGAGAGGGUGAUCCCCCACACUGGUACUGAGACACGCAC
rnacentral:rRNA from 1 species